rnacentral:rRNA from 1 species
AGCUAUUAAAUAAAUACAUGUUUUACUAGAUAUAUAAAUUAUAACUAUAAAUUAUAUAAGUAUAAAAAGAAAUUAUUAUAGAAUUUAAGCUGUAUACUAAAGAGAAUUAUUCAUAUAUAUAAGUAUAAUUACUUAUAAUUAUAUAAACUCUAAGAGAAAUUUUUUAAUAAACGAAGUGAACUGAAAUAUCUUAGUAACUUUAGGAAAAUAAAUCAAAAGAGAUUCUAUGAAUAGCGUGAGCGAAAAUAGAGAAGCCUAAUAAGUAAAAUGGUAUAUAAACUGUUUAAAUUAAAUGGGGAACCUUCCUCAAAGGCUAAAUAUAGUAUACAAGCGAUAGUGAAAAGUACCGUGAGGGAACUAAAAGAAAAAUAGUAAUUUUAUAAGCAGUUCGGAAAUAAUAAAAGUUAGAACGUACCUUUUGCAUAAUGGGUCACCAAGUUAACAUUAGAUGCGAGAUUAAACGUAGUUAAACCGAGCGUUAAAAUAACGGAAAAGUGUCUAAAGUUAGACCCGAAGCCUGGUGAUUUUACCAUAAUCAGGAUUAUAAAAGUCCGAACGGGUUAUUGUAGCAUAAAUAUCCGAAGAAUUAUGGUAGGUGUAGUGAAAGACAACACUGACUAGGAUAGCUGGUAAAGAAUAAAGAUGUAAGCAAUCUUUAAUGGCCAGUAUGUAGAAAUGAACUUUCUGCAAUAAACCAUCAAAUUGACGGGGAAGCCCUAAAGCAAUCUAAACCAAGCAGAUGUGGUAACAUGUCUGUGGCACAGGUAAUGACUCGUGGUAUGGUAAAAUAUAGAUUGAUAACGUAAGUUAAUGGGUAAUCCGCAGCCAAGCACCGACUACUGUUAAUUCAGUAAGGUGUGCAGUUCAUCGACUAAAUGUUGGUUGGCGCAAGCCUAAGAUAUAGUCAAACCUUAUCCGAAAGGAUACAGAACAAUAAAUACAAACACUACUCAAGUAUAGACUAAGAGGAAUAAAAAUAUAUAAAAAAAAAUAUGAAAACAAUAAAAGAAUUGAAUGUAACACCCAUAAUUAUUUAUAAUAAUUGUGAUUUAGAUAAAGUAAAAAUACUAAAUGAUAAUAGAAAUCAAGGAGGUAUUUAUUGUUGAAUAAAUAAUAUUAACGAUAAAAUUUAUGUAGGUAGUUCUGUGAAUCUAACCGAAAGAUUUUAUAAAUAUUAUAGUGUUAAGCAUUUAACUAUGCGUAAUACACCUAUUCACAAUGCUAUAUUAAAAUAUGGAUACAGUAAUUUCUCUUUAGCUAUAUUGGAAUAUAUAGCGGAUAAAGGAGAAAUUAUAGGUAAAGAACAAUAUUAUUUAGAUUUAUUAAAUCCUAAUUAUAAUGUGCUAGAAGUAGCUGGUUCAACAUUGGGUUAUAAACAUACAGAAGAAACCUUAAAAGGUUUUAAAGAACGUAUACUUAGUGAGGAAGCUAGAAACAACUUAUCUAUAGCAGCUACUGGAAGAAUAUUAUCUGAAGAAGUUCGAGAGAAAAUCUCUGAAAAACGUAAAGGUAUAAAACUUACAGAAGAAACACGUGCAAAGAUUUCAAAGUCAGCUAGUGACCUUAUAGGUAUAAAAAUCGAUGUUAUUAACAUCGAAACAAACAAAAAAUUAUCUUUUGAUAAUUUAACUAGUGCAGCUAAGUAUAUUAAUGUUAGUAGAACAGCUGUAGCUAAAGCUUUAAGAAAUAGUAAAUUAAUAAAAAAUAUUUACUUGAUUAAAGAAAAAUAGUAGUAGUAGUAUUUAUUGUUUGUUAAAUGGAUAAUUAAGUAUUUAUAGGUAUACUUAUUAUUUAGGGAGAAGGACUUCAGCUUUACCUGUAUUUUUUUUUACUAAUAAUAAUUAAAUCAGGUAGAAGAAGUAGAUUUGUUUCUGCGAAACCUAUAAUAGUAGGCAAUUUAAGUAUAAUAUCUUAGCAGGUACAGAAUUUAAUCUCAGACAAGACAUAUAAAAUGUUUUAUUUUGUACAAAUUGGGGGAUCAUGAAGAUUUUAUCAGUGAGUAUGCAGACUCGGAAUGGCAAAGAUAUAUCUUAAAUUAUCAGACAUAGAAUGAUAAGGUUGUAUGUCAAAAGGGAAACAGCCCAGAACAAGAGUUAAGGUUCCUAAAUUAUUAGUUGAGUGAAAUUAAGAAGGUUUUUAUUAAAGUCGACAAGGAGAUAGGCUUAGAAGCAGCCAUAAUUUUAUGACCUCGUAACAGAGCGCUUGUUAAGUUUUAAAAGCAUCGAAAAUUUAACGGAUCUAAACAAUAUACCGAAACCUUGUCCAUAAUACAUUAUAAUAAAAAUGUUUAUUAUAAUUUAAUGGGGUAGCAGAACGUUGAGCUAAAUUAGGAUUUUUAUUUUUUAAAUGAAAUUAUAAUAAUUUAACUCAAGUGAUAAUGGUGACAUGAGUAACUAAAAGAAAAUUUUCCGCCUUAAGCUUAUGGAUGUAAUUAAGUAACGGCCUCUAAGUUUAUAUUAUCUAAAGAUUUAAACGAUGAGAUAAUCUUUUUUACUAAGGACAACAUUUCAAGUGGGAAAUGUGCUGGAAAAAUAGUAAUAUGUUUAUUUAAGGACUGUGCAUACUACGUAGCGCAGCUCUAAAUAAAUGAAAAGUAACCGUACCUAGAAACUGAAACAAGUAAGCUAGUAGAGAAUACGAAGGCGUAAAUGAGCUAACAAUCAUAAAGGAACUCGGCAAAUUCACUACCGUAACUUCGGGAUAAGGAGAGCUCAUUCUUCUUGAUUAAUAUCAAGUAAAGAUGAAGAAGCAUGAAAUAGUGUUGUACGACUGUUUAAUUAAAACACAGCACUUUGCUGAAAGAUUAAAAAUCUAAGUAUAGAGUGUGAUGUCUGCCCGGUGCCGGCUGGUUAACAGAUAUAAUUAAAUAUACUAAUAUUUGAUGUUGACGGAAACCCCGGUUAAAGGCGGCCUUAACGUGAGGGUCCUAAGGUAGCAAAAUGCCUUGGCCGUUAAAUGCGGUCUUGCAUGAAUGAUGUAACGAUACAACAGCUGUCUCUAUGAUUGACUCAGUGAAAUUGGAAUAGCUGUGCAGAUACAGUUUACCUCUAGUUAGACGAGAAGACCCUAUGCAGCUUUACUGUCACUAAUUAUAGAGUAUGAUAAACAAUUUUCAGAUUAUAAGGUUAUUGACAAAUAUGACAAUGAGAAUCCUUUAUUUUUUUUUCAUAUGAAUGAAUUGAUUUAGUAUUAUGGGUAAUUAACUCAUUUUAAAAUCAACCUAAUUCAGCUUAUUAUUUUUUACAGGGAAACCUGUAAAAUAAAUAAGUACCCUUUGGUAAGGAACUAUCGUUAGAGGACAGUUUAUGUGGGGCACAGACCCUGUAAAGAGUAAACAGGAGUGUCUAAUAAUUUAUAAUUAUUUUGUUUGCGAUUUUGAGUAGUUUAACUAUUUUUAAUCAUAUAAAAUUAUUUAUGUGUACACUCUAUAUCCCGGUAUUUACCGGGAUCAGAAGUACGUAUACAUAUUUAAAUAUAGGUAGGAUUUUCACUAUAUAGAAAUUAGAGAUAAUUAAAAAUAUUAUGAAUAAUUCUAAUAUUUUUUAACUAUUAUUAAUAAUAGUUAUGUUUUAAAUAUCUAAAAAGCUCAACGGCUAAAUCUUGCCUUACUGUUUGAUUAUCUACAAAUCUUACAGUUGCGUAAGCAGGGCAUAGGAUCACAAGAUGCAACAAGGAAAGAUCUUGGAUUAUUGGAAAAGCUACGCUAGGGAUGUUUGUCCUUUAAUAUUUUAUUUUACAUAAGAUAAUUAAUAAUAUAUUGGGUUAAUUUCAAAAAUUACUAACCUUAGUAAAUUUGAAGCGAAAUUUAUCUUAGCAUAAAUUUUAAGAUAAAAACGUUCAACGACUAUAAGGUGAGUUAUAUGCAAUAAACAAUAAUCCUUUUUAACACCCAACAUUUUUAAUAUAUAUAUAUUUAGUAGUUUCGGAGAAACUCCGCAAGCUCAGAAAAAAAGAAAAUAAAACAAAUGAAAUUUGCACCUGAAAUGAAUAAUAUCUUGCUUCGUCAGAAAAUUUUUAAUAAUAAUCUAAAAAAAAAUAGUAAAACAAUACUUUUAAAGAAAAAAUUAGGUGAUGUAGGAAUAAUAAAAUAUUUACCUUCAUUUUCUAAAGAAUGAAAAAAUACUAUAUAUUCUUAUAAUAAAAAUACAUUAAAAAAUAUACCUGUUAAUGAUUUAAAUAUUAAUAAAAUAAUUCAAGGUUAUUUUAAUUUGUAUUUUAAAGACAACAAAUAUACAGAAUCUAAAUUUAUAUUACUUAAAAGAAGACGUAAUUUUUUACGAAGAAUACACGUAAGUAAUGCUGAAAUUAAGCAUACUAAUAAUAAAGCUAUAAUUACUUUAUAUACUAUAAAUAGAGAAAAAAAUACAUUAAAAAAAAAAUACUUAAAAAUAAAUAAAAAAAUAAGUAAAAAUUUAAUAGUAAAACGUUAUUAUUUAUUAUAUAAAAAAAAUAUACACAAAAUUUAUAAUAUACUAAAUAAAUAUAAAGAUGAAGGCGCAAGCUCCCUUUUUAUAAAUGAUAUAAUAAGAAAAAAAAAAUUUAUAAAAUAUAAAUUACAAUAUUUAAAUAAGUUUAUAAAAUUAAAAAAUCUUUACCUAAAAAAAAUUUGAGGUGUUAUUCUUAAUAAAUAUACGAGAAAAUAUCUUAAAUUAUUAAGAAGAUAUGAUUUAUUAUAUUCUCUUAAUCAAUAUAAAUUUAAUAAAUUAGUGUUUUUACCUGUAUUAAGUAAUAUACUAAAUAAAAUUAUAGGAAAAAAAAUAGAAUAUAAUAUAAUUAAUUUAAAAUCUAUUGCAUAUAAUACAGAUCUUUUUACUAAUGCUUUAGCAUUAAAAUUAAGAAAAAAAAGAAUAAAUUACAUAAAUUCUAUGUUUAGUAUUUUAAACAGAGCAUAUUUACCUAACAUCAAUACAAUUAAAGAAAGAUCUUUAAUAAAAGGUAAUAAAAAAAUUGAUCUUUUCCACGAUAAAUACAAAGAUUUAAAAAUUAUUUCUAAUAUAAACAAUAAUAAUAAUCUAUCAAGAUUAUUAGAUGGAAUAUAUCCUACGAGCCCCGGUUUCGAGUUUUUAAAAGGGGCUAGCGUUAGCUCGAGUUUUUUAAAAAAAACGACAGAACUUGUUUCAAGACCGGAGCGCGAGCCUUUGGCUACUAAUAAAGAAAUCCAUAAUAUAAUAUACGAUUCUAUUGGAUAUAAAAAUAUGGGAGGUAUAAGAUUAGAAGUUAAAGGUAGAUUAACUAAACGUUAUAGAGCCGAUAGAUCUAUUUAUUCAUUAAAAUGAAAAGGUGGAUUAAGAAAUAUAGAUUCUUCUUUCAAACGUUUAAGUUCAGUUUUAUUUAGAGGUAAUUCUAAAUCAAAUGUUACUUAUUCCAUGGCUAAAUCAAAACGUCGUAUAGGAGCCUUUGCAGUAAAAGGUUGAAUAGGUGGUAAAUAAAUAUUAAAGAAAAUCUAAAAUAUAUAUAUAAUAAAAAUGAAGACAUAGUCUGAACCAUUUUGAAAAAAAUGGAAAUACAAUAUUAUGAUAACAUAUAGAACAGGCUAAUUUGCGCAAGAGUGUACAAAAUGAGUGCGCGGUUUGGCACCUCGAUGUCGGCUUAACUUAUCCUCAUGGAUGCAGGAACUAUGUAGGGUGCGACUGUUCGUCGAUUAAAAAGUUACAUGAGCUGGGUUAAAUACGUCGUGAGACAGUAUGGUUUCUAUCUUCUAGAGGGAAUUAGAAUAAAAUAAGAACUAACUUUUGUACGAAAGGAACAAGAAGAAUUUAACUUGUAAAAGGGUUAAAUAAUAGUUACUAAUCUAUGGUUUACCUGUUGUCUAUGUGCCCAAAUAUUAAGUAUAUAUAUCAUGAGAAUGUUAUAUAUAUCUGUAUUUUUAUACAUAGGGAUGUUUCUUUCACUAAGAUAAAUAUAUAGCAUAGGCACGGCAGGAAAGCUAAGUUAGUUAAAGAUAAGUGCUGAAAGCAUAUAGGCACGAAGCUUAUCUUAAGAUAUUUCUUAAAUAUGCGUAAAAUAUUAUUACGAAUUAAUUAUAGGCUUUAUCCGUACUAAUCUCGAGAUUUUUAAGAAUAAAGUACUAAUUUCAUAAAUAACUAUUUAUAA